AUUGAACGCUGGCGGCAGGCCUAACACAUGCAAGUCGAACGAGCGGCGGACGGGUGAGUAAUGUCUGGGAAACCGCCCGAUAGAGGGGGAUAACUACUGGAAACGGUAGCUAAUACCGCAUACAAUCAGAUGAACCCAGAUGGGAUUAGCUAGUGGGGGGGGUAAAGGCUAACCAAGGCGACGAUACCUAGCGGGUCUGAGAGGAUGACCAGCCAAACUGGAACUGAGACACGGCCCAGACUCCUACGGGAGGCAGCAGUGGGGAAUAUUGAACAAUGGGCGAAAGCCUGAUGCAGCCAUGCCGCGUGUAUGAAGAAGGCCUUCGGUGUGUAAAGUACUUUCAGCGAGGAGGCGUUACCCGCAGAAGAAGCACCGGCUAACUCCGUGCCAGCAGCCGCGGUAAUUC
rnacentral:rRNA from 1 species